AGUGAACGCUGGCGGUAGGCCUAACACAUGCAAGUCGAACGGCAGCACAGUAAGAGCUUGCUCUUACGGGUGGCGAGUGGCGGACGAGUGAGGAAUACAUCGGAAUCUACUUUUUCGUGGGGGAUAACGUAGGGAAACUUACGCUAAUACCGCAUACGACCUACGGGUGAAAGCAGGGGAUCUUCGGACCUUGCGCGAUUGAAUGAGCCGAUGUCGGAUUAGCUAGUUGGCGGGGUAAAGGCCCACCAAGGCGACGAUCCGUAGCUGGUCUGAGAGGAUGAUCAGCCACACUGGAACUGAGACACGGUCCAGACUCCUAUGGGAGGCAGCAGUGGGGAAUAUUGGACAAUGGGCGCAAGCCUGAUCCAGCCAUACCGCGUGGGUGAAGAAGGCCUUCGGGUUGUAAAGCCCUUUUGUUGGGAAAGAAAAGCAGCAGGUUAAUACCCCGCUGUUCUGACGGUACCCAAAGAAUAAGCACCGGCUAACUUCGUG
rnacentral:rRNA from 1 species